rnacentral:rRNA from 1 species
AUUGAACGCUGGCGGCAGGCCUAACACAUGCAAGUCGAGCGGAGCGGCGGACGGGUGAGUAAUGCCUAGGAAUCUGCCUGGUAGUUGGGGAUAAAGUCCGGCAACGGGCGCUAAUACCGCAUACUAUCCAAUGAGCCUCGGUCGGAUUAGCGAGUUGUGGGGGUAAAGGCAUACCAAGGCGACGAUCCGUAACUGGUCUGAGAGGAUGAUCAGUCACACUGGGACUGAAACGCGGGCUGUAUUUAAGCGAGAGGGAGCUGUGGGGAAUCUUGGACAAUGGGCGAAAGCCUGCUCAAGCCCUGACGCGUGUGUGAAGAAGGUCUUCGGAUUGUAAAGGACUGUCAGUGAGGAGCCGUUACCAACAGAACAAGCACCGGCUAACUUCGUGACAGCCGCCGCGGUAAUAC